rnacentral:lncRNA from 1 species
UGGGGGACCCCACAGCUCACGUCCCCUCUCUUCCUCCCUUCCCCCCAACUGGUGACUCACCUCUGCAGCCUUUCAAUGCGUCAGCGAUGGGGGGGACAUGCAGAGAGGAGCACUUUAUGAGAAAGGCAGGGGUCUUCACUUUGAAUUGAAAGAAGGUGCUAAAGGACCCCUGGGAAUGGCCCCAUGAAGACACAUCAUUGCCCUGUCCCCUGCCCAUCCCAGUUUCAGAGGGUGGGGAGCCCUGGGAAGGGGACUAGGAGAGGGUUGGGGGCCACUGGUGGGUCUGGGAAUGAUGAGUGAUAGGAAAAGGGUGCUCACCCUGAAUUUUAGUGCCGGGGUCCCCUUCCCUCAUACCCCACCCACUCUUGGGUGGGGGAGGGGAGACCCAGCCAGCGGGGGAGGGCAAAGCUGCAGAGAUGAGUCACCAAGCAAGGAAGAGAGAGGGAAAGAGACAGAGAUGAGGAGAGACACAAAGAGAGACAGCCACUGGAGAGACAGAGAAAAGAACACAACACACACACACACACACACACACACACACUCGCACACACCAUGUAGGUGGUAUCCACAAACUAACAAGAGAAAGGAAAUCGUGUACUUCCAUAAUCCUGAAGCAGCCUCCUCUAAAAUCCACCUGUCUCACACACACACACACACACACACACACACACACAUACAUCACUAUCAUUCAGUUACAUUGAUAUUCUGAGACACACCCACUUACACAAACACAAUGUCACACCUAGCCUAGCAGAGUCACCCAGACACAUGUUGAAGAUAUGACCAGGGUAAUGGAGAAUCACAUUGAAAGCCCUUGAUUCCUGUUACACGGGAUGGUAGGAAGGGGUAAAAGCCAUGAAAGAAUGUAACUUCAAAAAUCGAAGACUCACACACCUUGCACACGCGAUGAUACACACAGUCGCUUGCCUCCCCAUCCACACGUACAUAGUAACGUAUCAAGCAUCCUCCUCAUCAAGAAGCCACUUGGAGUACCUGAUUCUGGGGUACCCCAGACAUGUAUUCCAGAAUAUAUACCACCCAGACACCCCCUAACUCGUACACACAUGUGCAGAAAUGCAGACACACAAAGACGCCCAUGGACACACUCACACGGACGAAAACCACCUUGCGCUGCCUCGCCCGCGUCCGCACGCGUCCUGGCGCCCCCGCGUGGUACUUUUCGAGAUCGCAGUCUCCGCCGCUCCGGAGCUCAGCUCCCGCGGGGCGGCGCCCAGGCUCCCUCCACCUCUUCACCCUCCGCGCGGUGCCCACCCAGGAAUGGGGAAGGCGAGAGCGCUGGCCGCCAGAGAGCCGAGGGCGGGGAGUUAGACGCCUGAAUCGUGGGAAUGAGGGAGGCUGGUCCUGGAUGCCAAAGGGAACUUGCGAGAAGAGCAAGAAUUUGGAGAGCAGCGGACCCCCGGGUCCAGGGGAAAACGAGGCCCCGGGCUAUUCCAGGAGCCGCGCUGCUGCCCGCCUCUGUUCUGAGCGAGCACUUCUUUCCGCCGCUGGCCUGGGGUGGGGGUGGGGGCGCGCAACGGCCAGCAGCCCUCCCCAGCUCCCCUCCAGGAAGUCAUUAGCCCCACUGCCACGGGGCUUAGAGAUCCUCUCUAAUACAGGCUGCAGGGGAAGCGGGGAGGACAACGCAUCUCAUCCCUCCCCACCGAGAACUGAGACCGACACAGACGGUGGGCUAAGGGCCCGUUUUAUUGCAGCACGGCGCUGGUUGAAGACAGGCAGGAGGGCAGCAUGGCCAGGCGCAGGAGGCAGCCAAGCCAGACAGGGCAGCAGAGCCGGAACUGGGGAAAGUGGGGGAGCAGCAGCUGUCCCCUUUGUCCACCUCCUAGCACCCUCCUCUGCCCGCGUCUUUGAUUCCAUCCCCAGCGAACCCUGUGCUCACUGUCACCGAACCCCUGUCACCUAUCCAUUGUCCAGCAAGAAGUCCCUGCUACCACUGUCUCACACGGUGAGGUUCCGGGGCAGGCUCUGGGCUCCGGACACCUGGGUUCUAGUCCCUGCUGGGCUCCCAGUUACUGCGAGCAACUUGGAAGUUACUUGGGUCUUUCUGAGCCUCGGCGUCCUCCCUCUGUGAGAUGUGAGGAUCCCGUGUAGGAGACAUCACUGUGCCAGUGCAGCUGCUACUACUUGCAUUUAAAUAGAAGACGUCAGAGUCCACAAAAAGCAUAAAGGAACUAGAGAGGACGGGAGGGGUGUCCGGAAAUAUCUGGAGGUGGGGGUUCCAGUUUUGCUAGAAGGCAGCCUGGUUAGAACCCGGGGACAGCCUUGCACCAGGCGGAGGGACCUGCCCUCCACCACACCAAGCUGUCCACCCAGAACCCUCUGGGUCACAGGCCGGGUUCGGGCCCGGGUUGGGAGCACAGGGGAGGGAACCUACAAAAUAGCACCAACGUGGAGUUGGAAGAGACUCCUGAGAGGAGGCAGCCUCAGAGAGGUGCAUCGCCCGAGCGUAAUCGGGGACCAAAUGAGGGUGAGGCUUUAUCAAUCUACUUCCUUUAGGGGGUCUUUCCCCUUGUUACACACAAGGUUGGGUGAUGAAGAGGUCAUGAGGAAGGGGGAGGGGAAUGGAGGGGCAGACAAACGGGCAGCAGGGAACUAAGAGAGGGUCUGGGCACAUGAGGCUGAAAGGGCGGUGAGGAGAGGAGCACAGGGCAAACCCUGAGGGCCUGAGAAAGCACUGGGUGAAGAAAAGAAAUGCGUUUUGGGCAACUGUGCUCCGGGUCGGGUGCUGGGCGUUGCACACACUCCUGCCAGCUUCCGUCCACGAGGGGGCAGAAGGGAGAAGCCAGAAAGGGCAGAGCACACUCCCAGGCUGGGGAGGGACAGAGAAAGGCUCUGAAGCCUGUGAAGGAACCCAUUCUUUGGCGGGGAAAGGGAAAGAAGGGACACGCGGCUCAGGUGGCUCCCCCAAAUCUGACGGUUCAGAUCAGUGUGCAAACAUCAGUGUUUGGGGGAGCUAAAGUCAAGAGGGCAGACAGAGAGGUAAGAGAAGAGACCCCAAUAGGCAGAAGCCGCGAGGCUGAAAGGAGCAGAGCGAAGCCAAGACAGGUCAGAUGGGCCACCACCUCAUGGUUUCCUCAUCUGUAAAGAAGCCAUAACAUCUAGUAAGGAUUGAAUAAGAGAAUUACGUAAAGUGUCCAGCAAAAAAAAU